AUGCCGGUUCGCAUUAUCAACGAACGGCGUUACACUGAAGACUGAAAAGUCCUGCAGCACAUACAGGAAAUGUGUUGAAGCUAUGGUAGACAAUAUCUUUACAUGCAUUAAAUGGACCAAUGGCAUAUCCUGUGUUGAUUGUUGCGUCGGAAACUUAUGUAACGAGAAUGAUUUCAUUGGUUCAAGUUCUGGUUAUGAAAUAGAGGAUAGAACAGCAGAAAUAAACUCAUAAGUGAAAACUGAAAAAGUGCUUCCAAGAAUCGUCUUAGUAUUUUACGCCAUACAAUAAUGUUUUCUCCAUAUAUAAUAUUGAAUAUAUUUCCUUGUAAAUAAAAUAUAUUUGUACCUUUCAAUGCAACACUAUGCAACCGAGCCAUUGUAUAACCUGCAAUAAUUCAAUUUAGACAAGUUUCAGGGCCUCAUUAUUGCUUGAAACAGAGGAAAAUAGAAAAUGCUGUUACCUUGCGCACGUAAACGAAAGCAAUUUAUUCUAAUCACUUGCCUUUGUCUGUUAUCUGUUUUCGUAAAAUUGCUGGAAAGCGGAUGAAAUGAUUUUUAUCACGUUUUGCAGAAAUACUCAUUGUGUGAGUGGCUCGAAAUGAUGAACAUUUGGUUUGAUUAUCUUUA